AUGCCCCCCACGACGAGCCUCCCCCUGGCGCAGCGCGGCCGCCACUCGCCGCCGGCGCUGGUCGACGACGCCAUGAGGGAGAUCUUCCUGCGCGUCCCGGCGGACGACCCCAAGACCCUCGUCCGCGCCGCCGCCGUCUGCACGACCUGGAGCCGCAUCCUCUCCGACGUCAUCUUCACCCGCGAGUACCGCGCCUUCCACGGCGCGCCGCCCAUGCUGGGCUUCCUCCACAACACGCACCAUGAGAGGUCGUGGGGGAGAGGGAGGAUCAAGCAGCACGAGGAGUACCUGGUCUCCAGCUUCGUCUCCACCGCCUCCUUCCGCCCGCCGGCCUGCCACGAGCGCCGCCACUGGCGCGUCCUCGACUCCCGCCACGGCCUCGUCCUCUUCCACACCCCUAAGAGGGACGAGGACUUCGUCAUCUGUGACCUCGUCACCUACGACCGGUGGAGGAUCGACGCCGCCCCCGAGUGCGCGGAAAUCAUAUGGAGUCAUCAGGAUGAAGACCAUGAUGAUGAUGAUGAUGAUGAUGAGGAGGAGGAGGAGGUUGAGGGAGUAACCUGGAAUGCUGCAGUGAUCUGUGCCAAGGAUGGAUGCAACCACCUCUACUGCCAUGGCGGCCCUUUCCUUGUGGCCCUCGUCGGCUCCGACGAGGAUCAGGGGAUCACCUUUGCAUCCGUAUAUUCAUCAAAGACUGAUGAGUGGAGCGACAUGAUCUCCAUUGAGGAGCCGAAUGCCAUCGAGAUGACUGGGCAAAUUGGUGUUGUUGGAAAUAAGGUCUACUUCCAAUGUGAAUGUACCCAAAAUGUUGUGGAGUACAACAUGGGCGAUGAAGAACUAUCGGUGAUUGAUCCAAUAUUUGAAGACGAUAAUAAGGACAUACAGGCCAUUGGACUCUUGGGGAUGGAGGAUGGCAUGUUGCUGUUCGCCGCCGUGCUGGAGCCUAAACUCUACCUAUGGUCAAUGGAGGCUGGCUCCAACGGAGCUGCGGCAUGGGCACAGCGCAGAGUCAUUGAGCUUGCACCGUUGCUCCCUUCUCGUGCCCUCUUGGAUGUGUCAGUGGUUGGUUUUGCAGAAGGUGUUGGUCUCAUCUUCCUGAAUACAGAGGCUGGGUUGUACACAAUUGAGCUCAACUCAGGCCGAAGCAAGGAGGUACAUAGAGCCACAUCUUUCAAAAGGGUCAUGCCCUACACGAGCUUCUACACUAGAGCUAGAGUUGAAGUUAUUAAGGGACAAAGUGUGCUCCUCUUGUGCUCAUCGGAUCAACUUAUGAAGCUUUGUUUUCUUAUGGCGCAUCUUGGGGGCGAAUGCCGACCUCUGACUAAGCUUCCUGUUGGUGCUACUGCUACAUCAGUAUAA
rnacentral:rRNA from 1 species